CAGCGACAAGGAACAUUUUUAACUUCAGCAUCAGCCUCUCUGGUCACUUACUAUCACUUAACAUGCAGCAGAUAGUGAUAGUCUACUGGGAACACAUGGAUACAUUUGGUGUUUAUGGCCUUAUAAUUUAAUUGUAAAUUUGAUGCUGAAGCCAAUUUUCCAAAAGAUGCUUGUACACAGUUUUCCAGAAUUUUCCCACAACAAUAAACCAAAGACAAAAGCUAAAACAGACAUUUGAAUAAUAUAAAAAGCAAUCCAUCUCUGGUCAUUCACUGCCUGAACAAUAGAACUACCACGUAAACAGUCAUACAUCCAACAAAUGCAGCGACUACUAAAAUAACUACUGUACACACUAAGGUUGUGAUGCAGUACCCACCAACAUCAUAGAGGUCAUGUUUUCCAGGAGAUCCUGAGGCAGAGGAGGUUAGUAAAGUGAGAAAAAAGCAAGUAGAAGCGAGCAUUAGUCACACCCUCUUUAUCUUCAGAAUAAAUGUUCAUGCACUCAGUUCAUGUUAAGUGUGUGAAGUGGAAACAUGCAAAUCCAUGAGCCUUAGGCAGGUGCCAAACUCCGACCAGAUGAAGUCUUCUUGUUGACAUGAAACGCAUAUUUAUCCUACAGAUAGAGUGAGUGUGGUUGAAUAUUGUUGGUGUGCAAGAUGUAAACAUUAUGAAAGGGUGAGCUACGGACUGAUGAGGUCAUGUCACAACCGCAGGGUGAUGGGUUUGUUUGUCUUUUCUUAGUGUAAGACUCUUUAUCUGCAGCAUUGUCCUCAAAACUCUGACCAGACUGAAAAGAUAAUUCCCUCCUUCAGGACUUUAACAAAGGUGGUGCUAAAAUAAACUCACACUAGUGGAGCUUUCAUUCAGCACAUGUAUACAGUGGUGGAAGAAGUAUUCAGAUCCUUUACUUAAGUUGAAGUAUUAAUCCAGCAAUGUAACAAUACUACAUUACAACUAAAAGUCCUGCAUGUAAAGUCUCACUACAGUAAAAGUACUGCAGUAUUAUGAGUGAUGUAGUAUGCAGUAUUACAGUAAAAGUACUGCAGUAUUAUGAGUGAUGUAGUAUGCAGUAUCACAGUAAAAGUACUGCAGUAUUAUGAGUGAUGUAGUAUGCAGUAUUACAGUAAAAGUACUGCAGUAUUAUGAGUGAUGUAGUAUGCAGUAUUACAGUAAAAGUAGUGGUUUGGUCCCUCUGACUGAUAUAUUAUUAUAUAUGACAUCAUUAGAUUAUUAAUAGUGAAGCAUCAGUGUUAGAGCAGCAUGUUACUAUUGUAGCUGCUGGAGGUGGAGCUAGUUUACACUACUUAAUAUACAGAUAGCUAGUUUAGUCCAGUGGUUCCCAAACUAGGGGUCGGGCCCCUCCAGAGGGUCGGCAGAUAAAAUUCUGAUACACAAAUGUGUUUUCACAUUUGUGUAUCAGAGAUUUAUUGAAAUGAAACCAUGUGAGAAGUUUAGAGGGAAAAAUCAGUAUUUGGUGUAGCUGUUAACAACUCAUAGACAUCUGAAAUGUGAGCCUGACUACACACUGCUUUUUGUAAGAAACCACUGGUUUCAUCUUUAACACUGUGUUGUAUUUUAAAAGCCUAUUAUAUUAUCCAGUAUGUCAAAUCAUCAUCUCAAAAGUAACUAAAGCUGUCAGAUAAAUGCAGUGGAGUAGAAAGUACAAUAUUUUAUAAUUAUACUUUGUACGGUAAUUUAUAUUAUCACCAUCACUACCUUCUUCUAGACAAGCUCCAUGCUAUUGGUCUUUCCCAACAUGCAUUGCUGUGCAUUAAUUUGUAUUUUCACAACAGAAUGCAAUGUGUUGCUUUCAGAGUGUGAAUCAGCUUUACUUACUUUACAAAGUUCUACUUGAGGCACACCUAUUUAUUAAUGAUCUCCACUCUUUCUUUCUGAUUGACCUACACAUAUCUGCUCUAUCAUCAUUUUGCUUAGAUUGCUCAUGUUUUCAGUAUUGCUAUUACUAUUCCUUUAUUUCCUUUAUUUAUAGAUUGAUCUUAGUUUUUUAAAGGUCGUAUUUAGUUGUUUGGUUGGUUGCGUGUUGUAUGCUGUGUCAUUGUUUAGUUAUAUAUCAUUAUGUCUUAUACUAUAUCUGUUAUCCCUUUGUUGUGAGAGUUUUUUUUGGGACCCCCCUUGAAGGCUAGAUGAUACAUCUCAAGGGGCUUAUCCCGACAUAACAAAUGUCUACACAAUUUCCCUUUGAAAUUUAGUGGAGUGGAAGUAUAAAGUAGCACAAAAUGGAAAUACUCAAGUAAAGUACAAGUACCUCAAAAUUGUGAUGAAGUACAGCUACUUUCCACCACUGUGUAUAUGUAUAUAACAGGAGAGAUGAUCUGUUUUAUUUGUCUCUUGUUUGCUUUGAGCCCUUUCUCGACGUGCUCUGUCUCAGCAACAUCCUGAUCCAGACAGUCAGUGAAAGCGUGCUGGGUGAAUCAGUGAGAGAGUGUGUGUGUGUGUGUGUGUGUGUGUGUGUGUGUGUAGGGGAGUGGGAUAGGAUGUCAGGUUGCAUCCUUAUUUGUUUACUUUGGAUGUCUAAGCUAAGUUGAACUGCACACAUCCUUAAGCAUGCACCCCUCGCCCUCUCAAAGCCCUCUGAUUACCCUCCUGCUUUAAGCUCUGCCUCUGUGUGGGCGGAUACAUGGGUGGCUGUGUCUAUUAGCUUAAAUGUGUGUGUGUGUGUGUGUGUGUUUCAGUGAAUGCUGAUGCGAGAGAGCUGAGCAUUAUCUUCAACAAGCUGUGAGUCAUGAGGGAAGCCUAAUAAUCCCGACCCUAAAGCUGCUUGAUCUUCACUCACUCAGCCAGAGUCUGCUCACCUCUGAGCUGUGACUGUGACAGACAAUCUUGUUUUCUUCACAAGAUAAUGACCAUGAAUUUAGUUUG